AAGGUUGACCUCGGAUCAGGUAGGGAUACCAAG
rnacentral:rRNA from 1 species